UGGGCCUUGUUCGAUGGGAAGUGUCA
rnacentral:piRNA from 1 species